rnacentral:lncRNA from 1 species
UUAAAAGCGUUUGGUAUUUUUUCUCCCGUUGCAACGCACGGGCCAUUUUGCUAGUGUGAACUAAUAUAUCAAUCUGUGUCCAUGUACUUUCCCGGGUUUUUUUUGUCUUGUCGCCAUUGUUUUAGACCCUAAAUUACAGAGAACGUAGAAAGGAGGACAUUAAUACAACAGAUCAAAGGAAAACAAAUUUUGAAGUUUAUUCAAUGCACAAAUCAGAAAGAAAGGAGUAUGAAACUUUCAUCAAAUCUUGGUAUAAAAGCAGUGUCAGAAACGAACCUGAUCCAGAACCUGAUCAAGAUGAGGAACAAAAAUUUGAUGCAUUAAGAUCAUUGAUCAACUGGAUCCAUGCCCGAAACUCCCUUCCUUCAGUUUGUGGGGAGAAGAUGAUUUUGUUUUCCAUGGGGGAAGAGAGAGAAUGGAGAGAAGAGAUGCACGGAACUUUUUCCAAGAGAGAGAGAGAGGAAGAUACGUGAGAGAGAGAUGGAGUGGGAGAUACGGGAAAGAGAGAAGGGAGAGAUGAAGGGACGUGUUUA